AAAACAUGAGACAGUUAUAUCCAAACCAUAGUGCACCCUCAUUUCUUCCUGUCCCUUUAUUAAAGCAGGAACUAAAACAUUCUCCUCUCUUCAUUCCAAUUUUCAGAGCUGCUAGCACAAGGAGCCAGAACAAGUUUCUCAUUUCUUGAAACUCUGAAGACCUAGCUAGGAAUGCUUUGCAAAGAAUAUAGAAAUGCAACUUAUGGGCUGAGCCUCUACUCUGACAGUAGAAUACUUGACUAGCAUUCAUGAGGCAGGACCACUCUUCUCACUGGACCACACUUCAUCAGGAAGUUGAAGGAAGACCCACAUUGGGUCACUGUUUCAUCAAUGAAGAGCUGCACAGAGAUCACUGAAAUGUCACCCACACUGUGAGAUUGAUCAGAGAAAUGCAAAGGAAACCUCCUGAGGAUUGCAAUUAGCUUCAGCCUCUACCGACUUCAAGGAGCUGCUGCAAAAAUAGGUAAA
rnacentral:lncRNA from 1 species